CCUACGGGCGGCAGCAGUGAGGAAUAUUGGUCAAUGGGCGCGAGCCUGAACCAGCCAAGUAGCGUGCAGGAUGACUGCCCUACGGGUUGUAAACUUCUUUUAUACAGGAAUAACGUGCCUCACGUGUGCCUCUUUGUAUGUACUUUAUGAAUAAGGAUCGGCUAAUUCCGUGCCAGCAGCCGCGGUAAUACGGAAGAUCCGAGCGUUAUCCGGAUUUAUUGGGUUUAAAGGGAGCGUAGAUGGGUUGUUAAGUCAGUUGUGAAAGUUUGCGGCUCAACCGUAAAAUUGCAAUUGAUACUGGCAGUCUUGAGUACAGUAGAGGUAGGCGGAAUUCGUGGUGUAGCGGUGAAAUGCUUAGAUAUCACGAAGAACUCCGAUUGCGAAGGCAGCUCACUAAACUGCAACUGACACUGAGGCUCGAAAGUGUGGGUAUCAAACAGGAUUAGAUACCCCAGUAGUC
rnacentral:rRNA from 1 species